GCGGGUGUAGCUCAGGGGUAGAGCACAACCUUGCCAAGGUUGGGGUCGAGGGUUCGAAGUCCUUCGCCCGCUCCA
rnacentral:tRNA from 1 species